rnacentral:rRNA from 1 species
GACGAACGCUGGCGGCGUGCUUAACACAUGCAAGUCGAACGAUGAACCGGCUUCGGUUGGGGAUUAGUGGCGAACGGGUGAGUAACACGUGGGUGACCUGCCCUGCACUCUGGGAUAAGCCUGGGAAACCGGGUCUAAUACCGGAUAGGACCUUCUGCCGCAUGGUGGGGGGUGGAAAGCUUUUGUGGUGUGGGAUGGGCCCGCGGCCUAUCAGCUUGUUGGUGGGGUGAUGGCCUACCAAGGCGACGACGGGUAGCCGGCCUGAGAGGGUGUCCGGCCACACUGGGACUGAGACACGGCCCAGACUCCUACGGGAGGCAGCAGUGGGGAAUAUUGCACAAUGGGCGGAAGCCUGAUGCAGCGACGCCGCGUGAGGGAUGACGGCCUUCGGGUUGUAAACCUCUUUCGACAGGGAACAAGCCUCGUCUUCUGGCGUGGUGAGGGUACCUGUACAAGAAGCACCGGCUAACUACGUGCCAGCAGCCGCCGUAAAAC